ACUACGGGAGGCAGCAGUGGGGGAUAUUGCACAAUGGAGGGAACUCUGAUGCAGCGACGCCGCGUGCGGGAAGAAGGUUUUCGGAUUGUAAACCUCUGUCUUCGGUGACGAAACGAGACGGUAGCCGAGGAGGAAGCCACGGCUAACUACGUGCCAGCAGCCGCGGUAAGACGAAGGUGGCAAGCGUUGUCCGGAAUGACGGGGUGAAAAGGGGGCGUAGGCGUGAAAGCAAGUUGAAUGUUUAAGGUACGUGCUCAACCUGUACAAGCGUUCAAAACUGUUUUUCUAGAGUGGAGUAGAGGUAAGCGGAAUUUCUAGUGUAGCGGUGAAAUGCGUAAAUAUUAGGAGGAACACCAGUGGCGAAGGCGGCUUACUGGGCUUUAACUGACGCUGAGGCUCGAAAGCGUGGGUAGCAAACAGGAUUAGAUACCCCUGUAGUC
rnacentral:rRNA from 1 species